AAUAUUGCACAAUGGAGGGAACUCUGAUCCAGCAACGCCGCGUGAGUUAAGAAGGUUUUCGGAUCGUAAAACUCUGUCUUGGGGGAAGAAUAAAGGACGGUACCCAAUGAGAAAGCGUCGGCUAACUACGUGCCAGCACCCGCGGUAAUACGUAGGGGCCGUGCGUUUUCCGGAAUUACUGGGCGUAAAGGGUACGUAGGCGGCUAUAUAACUCAGGUGUUAAAUACCAGUGCUUAACCCUGGAAUUGCAUUUGAAACUGUGUAGCUUGAGUGCAGGAGAGGGUAGUGGAAUUCCCAGUGUAGCGGUGGAAUGCGUAGAUAUUGGGAGGAACACCAGUGGCGAAGGCGACUACCUGGACGAAAACUGACGCUGAGGCACGAAAGCUAGGAGAGCAAACA
rnacentral:rRNA from 1 species